AUGCCUUUAAAACCCGUAUUUUUGCCGACUCAUAAUCGCUUGGUCGCUGGUUCAAGUCCAGCACGGCCCACCA
rnacentral:tRNA from 1 species